UUGCACGCUGGCGGCAGGCCUAACACAUGCAGGUCGCACGGUAACAGGAAGAAGCUUGCUUCUUUGCUGACGAGUGGCGGACGGGUGAGUAAUGUCUGGGAAACUGCCUGAUGGAGGGGGAUAACUACUGGAAACGGUAGCUAAUACCGCAUAACGUCGCAAGACCAAAAAGGGGGACCUUCGGGCCUCUUGCCAUCGGAUGUGCCCAGAUGGGAUUAGCUAGUAGGUGGGGUAACGGCUCACCUAGGCGACGAUCCCUAGCUGGUCUGAGAGGAUGACCAGCCACACUGGAACUGAGACACGGUCCAGACUCCUACGGGAGGCAGCAGUGGGGAAUAUUGCACAAUGGGCGCAAGCCUGAUGCAGCCAUGCCGCGUGUAUGAAGAAGGCCUUCGGGUUGUAAAGUACUUUCAGCGGGGAGGAAGGGAGUAAAGUUAAUACCUUUGCUCAUUGACGUUACCCGCAGAAGAAGCACCGGCUAACUCCGUG
rnacentral:rRNA from 1 species